GGAGAGAUGGCUCAGUGGUUAAGAGCACUGGCUGCUCUGCCAGAGGACCAGGGUUCAAUUCCCAGCACCC
rnacentral:tRNA from 1 species